AGCUAUAUUAUACAUUAUAUGAUUCCUAGUUUAUCUGCUGAACUACAAAGAGUUUAGUUGUGAAUGGAGCUACAUUAUCUAGCACGCAGUGGAACGUUAACUCUAAACAUUCAGUCACUUGAUGGAGUUCUGUGGGUCAGAGGGUGAACCAAUCAGAGUCCACAUAUCUGGGAGAUGUUCAAUCAUUCUCGGUACAGUAGUGGAUGUGAUUGUACGCUUGAUGCAGUAGUGAGUGAAGUGCAUAUAUUAUGACUCAGACACACUGUAAAUAAAAUGAGGUAGUGAUUAUAGAGAUUUUCACAUUAACAGGAGCAAAACUGUAUCGCCUGAAAAUGUCACUGAUGUUCACGUUGCAACACAAAGCUUAGAAAAGAGAAAGUUCUACACCUCUCUGAUCUCACAGCAGCUAAUAUUACACAAGAAUCCUCUUUAUCUGUGAUCAAAAUGUCCUUUUAUUCCAGCUGCAUGAUCAUUAACUCUCAGGAUUGUAUUGUUUUUAUUUGAUAACACCUAGAGUAUCGUUAUAAAUAAUGGAGAUGAACAGAAAUCCAGAUAUAAAUGAUCAGAUUAUGUUUAGUUUAUCACAUAUUAUUCACAUGAUGUCACGUGUGUUUGUUUAAGAUCACAUCUGCAGUUUCAGGCCAUAACAUGUUGAAAAUCACAUCCACAUCACACUAACAUUUCAUUAAAACACAACAGUCAAAUAUUUCUCUAUAAAUGUACACUGUAAACCCAUACAAGUUGAUUGAACUUAAACAAUUAUGGAAACUCAUUGCCUAAAAAGUUAGUUUUGCACUGCACUAUAAACAAGGAUAAAGAUCACAUCUAACAAGGAUCUAUUUGAAGUCACAAUUUAUUUCAAUUCACUUUCCAAAUUAUGACAACGAAGACAAACGUCAGUUUUAAAUCUUUAAACAGUUUUUAAAAUCUUUGCCAAACACUGCACAGGCACAGUAUGUAUCCUUAUAAUAUAUUAACAUACCACAUAAACAUUCGCCAAACACUAAACGGGUAUAGUUUACUUUUAUUCAUGAAUUAAUUUUUAUUAAUUUACUUUUAUAAUUAAGGCAUAUGGAGUUUUUGUCUAACCUGGAGACAAAUGUAUGUUUUCUUGUCUUACAUGACAAGCUGAUUUGUCAGUGCUAGAAGAUUGCUUUUAAACUCCUUCUUACCCAAACAUAACAUCACCUGCUCAGUGAAAUUGAAUUUGUUGCUCAUGCACUUGGUGUAAUCAACAUGCAGGGCAUAAGUGAACCCAUAAACAACACACAUGGCCUGGGGCAGGUUCUCUAAAUUGUCCAUCAAAACAUUGCCCUCCAGGAUGAUUUCCACAGAGGAUGGAUGGAGGUGGAAGGACAGGGGAUGCUGUGCCACAUCUUCACCUUCUACACUGAGGAUUCCAACUGGCACAUGUUGGUAUGAGUCCUCAUCAUCAGAAGCCUGAACAUGUAUAUGGAGAUUACUAAAACAAAUUUUAGCUGUCUAAUAUUCUUUUAAAUAUCAAUGAACUUUUAUUGAACAUGUUUUUGGUUAGUUAUGUACAUACAUAAUGAUUUGUGAAUUAUGUACACAAAUACAUGCAGGAGUUUAAAAAACUGUAAAUAUUAUGUUUGUAUCUGUUUUUGAAUAUGAGUAAUUGCAUAUAACAUGAACUACUAAUUUAGUUCUAAUUAAAUAAUAAAUUCAAGAUGACAUGCUAACUUAAAGAAAGAGAUCACCCUGGAAUGCAUUUGAGUUUUAAAUUGUCAUGACAGGAAUGAAAUUUUGCUUGACCUUUGGACAUGCAGUAGUUCAUUCAAGUUUCAGAACUCAAACUCCUCACGCAUCACAAGAAGAGCAGCCCCAAAAUCACGUGCUGUCAUGACGUCAUCUAUGUCAUGACCCCUUCAAUUUACAUCAUCUAUGACAGGAAAACAUAAUAACAAUACUUACAAAGCACGUUUUGAAGAACUCAGUUGGGUCAUCAUCAAUAAUUACUGUAAGCCCUCUCAUGCCAACACAUCUCAUGUCAGCGAGGUCAGAGGUGCAGUGGUGGCAGAGACAACAAUAUAUCAUUUGUCAACAUCAAAGGAAGGAAAUUUCCAUCAAUCAUUAUUUUGUCUGUCUUACUUAACAGUCAUGAAGUAAUGGUAAUAGGCUGGCUUCAAAAUGAAGCUUACACUGGCAUCAUCCUAAAUUUACAAACCUUGAUUUGUUGCAGAAGAUCAGCAAAAUCUGCCCUCUUAGACCUCUCUUUGACCUGAAGACUCAAAUCAGGUGUGGACAGUGAAGAUCAAGAGAGCCAUAGAAUGCUUGUUGAAGGUUCUUCCCAAACACCCGGCUGAAGUCUUAGUGUAAAGCAUUUGUUUACAUCAGGAAAUUGUCAAAACUGUCAAAUGUAUCAAUACUCAUUUUGUUGCGGAAGAUAUGAACAUGGGCAUUUCACUUCACCUGAUUUUCUAUAAACACUGAAAAAUCUCACUUACAAGAGGCUUGUCAAAUCAAAACUUCCUUUCUUCUUAAAUACAGUAUCAGGUCCAUCUCCUGGUUGAUAAAAAAUGCAUUAUUUUUUCUUCAUUUCAUCCUCCAGUUGCUCUCUGGAUAUUUCAAGGCUGGAGGCGUCCUGCCCAUCUGGAAGGUCAGGGAGGUAUUUGACCUCCCCUUUCCUUGGUUUCUUAAUGUUCUUGUGAGGUGGCUCGCUGCUGGUAGAAUAUCUCCAUCUCUUCCCAGCAUUAACCAUGACCAUUGUGUGUCCAGUGUUCCUCAUUUUUGACCUGUAAUUGCCCAUUUUGCCUUUCAGACUGUUUGUCCACCCACAGUAUCAGAAGGUGAUCCUGGUUCUUGGGCAUCCACAAAUGCCUUAGCAACGGCUCGUACAUCAUCAGCAGUUGGUUAUGCUUUGAAGGAGUAUAUGGUCUCUGCCAGCUUUUGAAGAAUGAUUUUCCACAUAAAAAUCAUGGCAGAAACACGGAAGAUGUUUUUCAGGGCAGAGGAUCCAGGAAAAAUACACAAAUAUUCCAUAUUGGACAUACACAAUUUCGAUGAGAGCCCCUGUUCAGUACAAGAAGGGCUGAAGAGCGUUCACACACCUCAUCUCUUGUUGCAUUCAUGGACAUUAUCAAGGACACAGUAUCAUAUCACAGACAUCACAGUGAUGAUGAGGAUAAACUGAGAACGUUGAUGCACUGCAGUGCACUAAUAGCUCCACGGAGAUUCAGAACAUCCUAUUGAAAGACUGCAGCAGUACUUCGUGAAUGAUAUAGGGGAAGGUAAACAUGUUGCUGUUCUCUGUAGUGCCAUGGGCGGAACUGCAUAGCUUGACUGACACACACUGACCUGCCAAAAAGACUUUUGCAGAUCUUCUACAAGUGAUGCGAGAACAUUUGUCACCCAAACCAUAAUUAUUUGCAGACCAUUUUCACUUAUAUGGCCGAAUUAAAGAAGUUUAAAGAAUUAAAAAGAACAUAGCAUUGUCAGUUUUGGGAUGUGUUAAAUGAUGCGUUGCAUAAUUAUCUGGCAUGUGGAAUACAUCACGAAGGAAACAGGAAGAGACAGUUGACUGGGACAGAUCUGAUGCUUAAACAGGCAUUUAAGAGACUGCUAUGCCCAUGGAAACUGCAGCUGAAGAAGCUCUCGCAUUACAAAGUUACAUAAAGGCUGGAAAUGUAAAUUAAUUGUCAUCAGAAACGUUUGACAAACAGUUAAGAGUUGGAUUUUUUUUGUGGGAAACUUUCUGCAUGCAUUUAGCCACUAGUAGGUCAUAUAAUAAACAUUGGUGUAUAUAAAGAAGAGUGUGAUGGGAAGUAGGGGGCGCUUUUGCCUCUGGUGUGAGUUUCCCUCACCUUCUCUUUUCCCAGACUUAUCAUGAACCAGGCCAGACCCAGUUGCUUGCAUUUCAGCAUGUCUAGCUCAUGACUGAUCCUGUUGUGGUGUGACUGCUGCUGUGUAACGAUACUUAAAGAUAAAUGUCAGGUGCAUUGCUUAAACACAUCUCAACCAUCAACCAUCACCCUUUUCAUCUCAACCAUCACCCAUCACCCUUCUCAUCUCAACCAUCACCCUCUC